GAGUUUGAUCGUGGCUCAGAACGAACGCUGGCGGCAUGCCUAACACAUGCAAGUCGAACGGGAUCCGGACUUCGGUCCGGUGAGAGUGGCGGACGGGUGAGUAACGCGUGGGAACCUGCCCAAUGGUCUGGGAUAACCGCGGGAAACUGCGGCUAAUACCGGAUAAGCCCCCCUCGGUUCGCCGGGGAGGGGAAAGAUUUAUCGCCGAUGGAGGGGCCCGCGUCCGAUUAGGUAGUUGGUGAGGUAACGGCUCACCAAGCCGACGAUCGGUAGCUGGUCUGAGAGGAUGAUCAGCCACACUGGGACUGAGAUACGGCCCAGACUCCUACGGGAGGCAGCAGUGGGGAAUAUUGGACAAUGGGGGCAACCCUGAUCCAGCAAUGCCGCGUGAGUGAUGAAGGCCUUAGGGUUGUAAAGCUCUUUUGGCGGGACGAUGAUGACGGUACUCGCAGAAUAAGCCCCGGCUAACUUCGUGCCAGCCGCCGCCGUAAG
rnacentral:rRNA from 1 species